rnacentral:lncRNA from 1 species
AUUGCAAAGGCAUGUCAUUAAGUUGUGUUGCUGGAGCUAUGUGGGACGGAAGCUUAUAAAACCCUUCUUGGUUGGGGCUUGGAUUCGGUCGACGAUGCACGUUUCUUUCGGUAAUCCUUAAACUCUUCGCACCCAGCGGUGGGGGCAGCUGUUUCAUUCGGUGUUUCGGCAAUGCUUGACGGGCAUAACAUGCUUGUUGGGGGUUGUAGUUCGCUGAUUGGAAUUGUUGCUCAUUGUACGUGGUGGUGCAUGAGUCGUAUCACGAUCGUUUUGGGUAGGCAGGCUCCGUGCUCGCGCAUCGAAUUGCUUCCCCGCGAUCCUUUCAGUCCUAGCCCAAGUGAAUGUUUUGUAAGUGGGCAAAUGUCGGGUUCCUGUGUUGCAUACCCACACUAGUGGAAUUCAAUAAUGUUGCUGUCCCAUAUUUCGCCUUUGUGCCUCCUUUGGGGCAUCGGGUGAACAUUGUAGCGGUACCUGUGUUCCAAACAUGCUGUUUCGGCUGUUGUGGCCCAUGGACUGUCG